GAGCGAUAAGAAGAAAGAGAAAAAAGGUUUUGGCCGCUUCAGUAUCCACUAGCUACUCCUUCACUCUCCCAAAAAGUUUUAGAAACCGAAAGAAUCUCCACACCUAAAAGAAGGAAGAUAAGAAUCGGAAAAAGAGGAAAGGAGUAUACGGCCAUAAACAGUGUGAGAGUACCUUACUGAUUUGUCAGAAAGCAAAACUAAUCCACACAAAAUGGAUGGAGUAGACGGCCUGGCUACCAAGUAAGAAGAACAAUUUGGAGGG
rnacentral:lncRNA from 1 species